UCUCAGGUGGUCCAGUGGUUAAGACUCUGAACUUCAAAUGCAGGGGCCAAGGGUUCAAUCCCUGGUCAGGGAA
rnacentral:tRNA from 1 species